AGGUGUUACCUUCAAACUGAAUCCAUACAGACACCAAACCACUGAAGCUAAGCAGGUGUGAGCCUGGUUAGUACCUGGAUGGGAGACCUCCUGGGAAAGCUGAGGUUGCUGCUG
rnacentral:rRNA from 1 species